UACAGAGGUCUCAAGCGUUGUUCGGAUUCAUUGGGCGUAAAGGGUGCGUAGGCGGCGCGGUAAGUCGGGUGUGAAAUCUCGGGGCUUAACUCCGAAACUGCAUUCGAUACUGCCGUGCUUGAGGACUGGAGAGGAGACUGGAAUUUACGGUGUAGCGGUGAAAUGCGUAGAUAUCGUAAGGAAGACCAGUGGCGAAGGCGGGGCUCUGGACAGUUCCUGACACUGAGACACGAAGGCCAGGGGAGCAAACGGG
rnacentral:rRNA from 1 species